GAGUACUAAUUCGGCGCCGACUCGGUCAACAUGGGGAAAACAGAUGCACGCACCUUGACGAUCAAUUCCAAAGAAAAACCGCCGCCUGACUCCACGGCUCGCUUUGACCUCGUCGGCAAAGCGAAGCGUUAGAAACGUGGGGGCAACCGUUUCAACCCACCCGGGUCAUGUUCUCUCACCCCAGCAGGAUCCAUCGCCUCGUUCUCCACAAGGACGAUUGAUUGACCCACACCGCACAACAUAUGAGGCAUCUCUUUCUUCCUUACAGAAGAAGCGACAAAAUUACUUUCGGGACCCACAACUUGCGAGGUGGAGGAACGAUGUCUCCUGGCCCGGCCAAGACAUGGGAACUCUACCGUAAAGACUACAUAGUGAUGCCAGCCGACGACGCACGCGGCUUAUGGCGACGCGCAAGAGACACCACAAUUGAUAUGCCAGUGCGCCUUCUUCCUUCUUUCCCCCACUCUCUCUCUCUCGUGCGCCUUCUUCCGCCUUUCCCCUCUCUCUCUCUCUCGCUGGCACACGGUCAGUCAAAGCCCGUCCCCCUUUCCCGCAACCUUUGUUAUAAAGACACCUCUCUCACCCUCUCUCUUACGCCCCAUCGAGAACGAGGAGAUCAAGAAGAGCGAGGAAGAGGAAGGCCGACUUCCAUCCAUCGCUUCGUCCCGUCUCCUCGUCUCUCACUCUUCCUGCCUCCUCCCCCUCUUUUUUUCUUUCUACUACUACUACCUAGAGAAAAGGAAGAAAACUCACAUCUAACACACCAGAUGGCUCGCUCUCUCUCGGGUGCUGCUGCUCUCGCGGCAUCUCUCUCCGACAGCAUCACCCUCUUCGUGAACAGGCGGGGAUACGCUGCAGCAGCGGCGGCUGUGGGAAGACCGGCGGAAAAGAAACCGGUGGUGCGGAAGGUGGUCGACUCCUCGACUGCCGCCGCCUCUGGUUCGUCCAAUUCCUGGAUCCCGGAUCCGGUGACCGGGUACUACAGGCCCACCAACUUCCGGGUGCAGGAUGCGGCCGAGCAGCGCGAGAUGCUUCUCUCCUACAAGCAAUGAACCAGCAGCUUGUUCUUUUGUUUAUGCAGUGGGAGAGAGAGAGAAGGCUGAGAGCCUCUGUGCCAUCUCAAUGAUUUGUUUCUUCGACUUCAAAAAAAUCAAUCAUAAUGAAUAAGAAUUUCUACUUAUUAUUUACGCAA